rnacentral:rRNA from 1 species
UGCGGAAGGAUCAUUGUUGAGAUAUGAGGGUAAAUGACUAGAGAACUUGUCAAUCAUAUGGCGUCCUUCCAACAAAGAUGCCAAUUCAAUAGUGCAUUCUCUUUGAUUGGCUUGUUUGUUGGAUGGACAUAGCCAUGCCACCACUUCUUGAUGGUUGUGGGGGCUGGCAAAUGACAGCGGGCACGGAAUGUGCCAAGGAUACAAAUUUUGCUCAUUGCGGUGUGACUUCGGUUGGGGUCUGCAUUGCGCUCAAUCGAAAGCAUGCUUGUCAUGGCAUGGUAGUGGUGUGUUGUUAAAGAUAUGACUCUCGACAACGGAUAUCUAGGCUCUUGCAUCGAUGAAGAACGUAGCGAAAUGCGAUAUUUGGUGUGAAUUGCAGAAUCCCGUGAACCAUCGAGUUUUUGAACGCAAGUUGCGCCCGAGACCUCUUGGUUGCGGGCACGCCUGCCUGGGCGUCACACCAUAUGUUGCUCCAUCCAACUAGUCCAUGUGAUUUGUUAGAUGGAAGCGAAGAUUGGUUCACCGUGCUUUUAAUAGUUGUGGUGAGCUGAAGCAUGAGAUGACGAUGGAAUAUUAGUACACAACAUGUGGUGGGUAAAAGAAUGCUUAUGAUGUUUGCCGAUGUUGUUCUCUCCCUGUCAUAUCUCAAACCAAAGCGUGCUGAAGGGAUCCUUGAGUUCUAGUGUGGUGUUCUCCCUUGCUUUGUGACCCCAGGUCAGACGGGA